rnacentral:rRNA from 1 species
UACGGAGGAUCCAAGCGUUAUCCGGAUUCAUUGGGUUUAAAGGUUGCGUAGGCGGAAUGAUAAGUCAGUGGUGAAAGCCUGCAGCUUAACUGCAGAACUGCCAUUGAUACUGUCAAUCUUGAGUACAUUUGAUGUGGGCGGAAUGUGUCAUGUAACGGUGAAAUGCUUAGAUAUGACACAGAACACCGAUUGCGAAGGCAGCUCACAAAACUGUAACUGACGCUGAGGCACGAAAGCGUGGGUAUCAAACAGG